GUUGGAGAUAUUCAUAGGAUGAUAUAGCAAGUGCAGAUGGUUUGAAAAUCUUGUUUCCAGAGUCCAGUAUCUCCAAUUUAUGUGUUUCUUCUCUUCAAAAUCUGUGAGUGACUUUAAUUUUUUGUUUGUUUGUUUAUAAAUCGCCGUCAUUUGAUUGUGUAGCUCUGGCUCUGGGGUUUGCUUGAUUGGUUGCCCUGAAGACGCUGUUGGGACGCUUUGAGACGUUGUGCUUUAUGGCAGUCUGGGUGCCGCAGAAACAUCAGCAUUCCAGUGUUGCGAUAUCUGGAAAGAAAAAAAGAGAACAUUCAAUAAAAAAAAGACUGUUUCACAGCA